GAGAGAGAGACAUGCGCGCAUAUCAAUAAGCGGAGGAAAAGAAACUAACAAGGAUUCCCUUAGUAACGGCGAGUGAAGCGGGAAGAGCUCAAAUUUGAAAUCUUCAAGGUUCUACCUUGACGAAUUGUAGUUUAUAGAAGUGUUUUCUGUUAGUGGAGUGGCAAAAGUUCUUUGGAAUAGGACAUCAUAGAGGGUGAGAAUCCCGUAUUUGGUCAUUCCUCCUAGCGUUGUGAUACACUUUCAACGAGUCGGAUUGUUUGGGAAUGCAGUCCAAAAUGGGUGGUAAAUUUCAUCUAAAGCUAAAUAUUGGCGAGGGACCGAUAGCGAACAAGUACCGUGAGGGAAAGAUGAAAAGAACUUUGAAAAGAGAGUUAAACAGUACGUGAAAUUGUCAAAAGGGAAGCGUUUGACACCAGUGUUGUUUUUCUCGAAAAUCAAUUACAAAUGGUUGGAUUUUUGAGUAGUUAUGACUUCAUCAGCUUUCUGCACUCUCUUUACUGAUCUUUCUUAAUGCACUUUUCGUUUAACAAGUCAACAUCAAUUUCUUUUGUUGUAAAAGGGUAUAGGAAGGUGGCUUUCUCUUCGGCGCAAGUGUUUAUAGCCUUGUAUCCUCUGCAAUCGGAGAGAUUGAGGUCUGCAGCGUAGAUCCUUCGGGGUUAGAUACAUUUGUGCUAAGCUAUAGCCUUGUAUAGACAACUUGUUGACUAUGCUCUAGUCAUGUAGCUUACUCGCUUAUGCUAUUUUACCUACGCUUAGGAUGUUGAUCUGUAGUGCGUGCGC
rnacentral:rRNA from 1 species